rnacentral:rRNA from 1 species
GCAAGUCGAACGGUGAUCUCGGUGCUUGCACCGGGUGAUCAGUGGCGCUUUUGUGAGUAACACGUGAGCAACCUGCCCCUGACUCUGGGAUAUCUCCGAGAAAUCGGUGCUAAUACCGGAUACGAGACGCACAGGCAUCUGUAGCGUCUGGAAAGAAUUUUGGUCAGGGAUGGGCUCGCGGCCUAUCAGCUUGUUGGUGGGGUAACGGCCCACCAAGGCGACGACGGGUAGCCGGCCUGAGAGGGCGACCGGCCACACUGGGACUGAGACACGGCCCAGACUCCUACGGGAGGCAGCAGUGGGGAAUAUUGCACAAUGGGCGAAAGCCUGAUGCAGCGACGCCGCGUGGGGGAUGAAGGCCUUCGGGUUGUAAACCCCUUUCAGCAGGGAAGAAGCGAAAGUGACGGUACCUGCAGAAGAAGCGCCGGCUAACUACGUGCCAGCAGCCGCGGUAAUACGUAGGGCGCAAGCGUUGUCCGGAAUUAUUGGGCGUAAAGAGCUCGUAGGCGGUUUGUCGCGUCUGCUGUGAAAACCCGAGGCUCAACCUCGGGCCUGCAGUGGGUACGGGCAGACUAGAGUGCGGGUAGGGGAGACUGGAAUUCCUGGUGUAGCGGUGGAAUGCGCAGAUAUCAGGGAGGAACACCGAUGGC